UACGUAGGGGGCGAGCGUUGUCCGGAGUUACUGGGCGUAAAGGGCGCGCAGGCGGUCUGCUUAGUUCAAAGUGACAGUCACCAGCUCAACUGGUGAAGGACUUUGAAAACUGGCAGACUUGAGAGCGAAAGAGGGACAUGGAAUUCCGGGUGGAGCAGUGAAAUGCGUAGAGAUCCGGAGGAACACCAAGGCGAAGGCAGUGUCCUGGUUCGUAUCUGACGCUGAGGCGCGAAAGCCAGGGGAGC
rnacentral:rRNA from 1 species